rnacentral:rRNA from 1 species
GCCUGUACAUUAGAGGAAAGAUUUAUCCUGUGAGAUAGGCAUGCGUCCUAGUAGGUAAUUGUGAGGUUACGGCUCACCAAGCCGACGAUAGGUAGGGGUCUGAGAGCAGAUCCCCCACAUUGGGACUGAGACACGGCCCGACUCCUACGGGAGGCAGCAUGAGGAAUAUUGGUCAAUGGAGGAAACUCUGAACCAGCCAAGUCGCUGAAGGAAGAAUGUCCUAAGGAUUGUAAACUUCUUUAGCGAGCGAGUAAGGACUUCCACGUGUUGGGAGUUUGAAAGUAGCUCGAGAAUAAGUAUCCGCGCUAACUCCGUGCCAGCAGCCGCGGUAAUACGUAGGGGGCUAGCGUUAUCCGGAUUUACUGGGCGUAAAGGGUGCGUAGGUGGUCUUUCAAGUCGGUGGUUAAAGGCUACGGCUCAACCGUAGUUAGCCUCCGAAACUGGAAGACUUGAGUGCAGGAGAGGAAAGUGGAAUUCCCAGUGUAGCGGUGAAAUGCGUAGAUAUUGGGAGGAACACCAGUAGCGAAGGCGGCUUUCUGGACUGCAACUGACACUGAGGCACGAAAGCGUGGGUAGCAAACAGGAUUAGAUACCCUGGUAGUCCACGCUGUAAACGAUGAGUACUAGGUGUCGGGGGUUACCCCCCUCGGUGCCGCAGCUAACGCAUUAAGUACUCCGCCUGGGGAG